GCAGUAGCUCAGUGGUAGAGCUAUCGGCUGUUAACCGAUCGGUCGUAGGUUCGAGUCCUUCAUGGCUCA
rnacentral:tRNA from 1 species